UUUUUUUUUAUAUAAAAAUAAUUAAAUUGUCUUGUAAUCAAUUGAAAGGGGGGCAGUACCCCUAUUGGGCU
rnacentral:tRNA from 1 species